AUGGCGGAGGCCGUCAUCGGGGCGCUGGUGGGGAAGCUGCAGGAGCUGGCGAUGAGCGAGGCGCGGGCAAUGGUGGCGGUGAACGAAGACAUACGGAGCCUCCGGGACAAGCUCAUGUGGAUGCAGGCCUUCCUCCGCGACGUCGAGCCACGGCGGCGCCUGCAGAAUGACGAGCUCAUCAGGGUGUGGCUGCAACAGACCCGCAGCGCGGUCUUCGACUCCGAGGAUGCCGUCGACCAGUAUAUCCUCCAGGUCGACCUCUCCAGAUACCCAAGUUGGACUCGUGCUACCCUCAAGUUCUUUGCCAGCUUCACCACACAAGUGCGCGUGCGGCGCAAUCUUUCUAGCAGGAUCAAAUCAAUCAAUACAAGGCUAGAAGGCAUCAUCGCGAACAAGGACAGAUACAAAAUUGAGGAUGCAUCUGCUGUGUCAGUUGUGACCUGGAGACCAUCCGCUGACACCUUUACUAGUACCGAGAAGAUGGAUAAAAUUGUGCUACCAAUUGUGGCACGACAGACGCAGCUAGAUGAUCUGAAGAAAUAUUUAGAGGCAGGAACUGACACAACAAGACCAGAAGUGAUCUAUGUGAUAGGCAAGAGUGGUGUGGGCAAGACAAAGCUUGUGAGGAACAUGUACGAGGAGUACUGGACCAAGAAUCACUUUGAUGUGCAGGCUUGGGUGAGCUUUGCACCAAAUCUAAGUGCCUCCAACAUCCUGAAGUUGAUCAUUCAGCGUUUGAAAGAAGACAAUGUUACAUGCUCCAGAGGGGAGGCCCGUAAGAAUCUAAAGGAAGAGUUAGAAAAGGGAAAGUACUUGCUGGUUAUAGAUGGUGAAGUCAGCAGCACAGAGUGGAAAAGCAUACUAAAUGACCUUCCAGACGGCAUGGCCGGAAGCAAGGUAGUGCAAAUCACACAGACCAAACCAGAAUCAUCACCUUCGACCUUGCAGCCCAUUGAACUUGAGGAUCUCAAUGAAGAUGAGGCCACCAACCUAUUCCUAAAGACACUUUUCAUGAAGGAGAAAGGUAAAAAGUACUGGAAAGCUGUGAAGGAGGCUGUCGGAAAGAACCACUACGGAAAAGACAUCUUUGAGAUUACAGGUGGUCUGCCACUUGCAGUUGUCCUUCUAUCUGGCCUUUUAAGAACCAAGGAGUAUCCUGGAGAAUGGGAGAAAGUGUUUGACUACCUCAAGAACAAGGCCAUUCAAUGGAAGCGCCUCGACAGCGUAUUAUCCAUGUGCUUUGAUGACCUCCCACAUGAUAUGAAAUCUUGCUUCUUGUAUUUUGCCGCCUUGCCUGUGAACACACUUAUCAGGGCACGCAGCUUAGUGUGCAUGUGGAUGGCAGAGGGAUUUCUGAGACCAAAAGAUGGCAAGCAAAUGGAGAAGGUGGGCGAACAGUACUUGAAAGAGCUAAUUGCAAGGCGGCUGGUGAACCUUGCACCAAUGGAGUAUGAAGCUUCUGGAGAUGAGCGUGUGGCCGUUCAGACAAAAGUCCAUGACUUCUUGCUUCAUGAGGCGCAAGAGGCAAGCUUCGUGGAGGUCCAUGGUGGGGAUGACAUCCCUAUACUGUCCAAUGCACGCCGCCUUUCCCUCCAGAAUCAUAGGGACAAGUAUGCUGCUCUCGCCAACCAUUUGCCCAAGCUGCGGUCCAUCUUGUCAAACUUUGAAGAAGAAGUGGAGGCUAGGAAGGAAGAAGACCAGCUAGGUACCGUGGAGAAGGAAGAAGACCCGCUGGGUACCGAGGAGAAGGAAGAAGAGAAGCAAAACCAACAAGCAUGCCCUUGUCUCCAUCACUCAAGGCCCGCGGCCGACUCCAAGGAGAUCAUACUCAUCAAGUCUGCCAUACGGCAACUCCUGCAAGGAUCUGAGUACCUUCGUGUCAUCAACCUGCAUGGCCUUGAGAUUGGAGACACGCUACCAUCUGAUAUUGGAAAUGUGGUGCACUUGCAAUACCUCGGCAUCACCUCCUGCUCUUUGAAGCAGAUACCACCAUCAAUUGGAAAGCUCACUGGCCUCCAAACACUAGAUGUCCGAGACACCGAAGUCACGACACUCCCCGAGGAGUUCUGGAAGAUUCAGAGCCUGCGACAUGUGUUUGGCUUCCUGGUCCUUCCAAGGCGAGUCGGGCGCCUAACGCAGUUGCAGACUCUGGAGAGCAUAGAGCCAGAUCAAGUUCAUGGCUGGGGUAGAAGAACCCUGGAGAAGAUGUUACACCUUCAGUCCUUGUACAUAUGGAAGCUCCCCGAAAGAAAUGCUAAUGCCUUGACUGCUGUCUGCAAACUCAAGUACCUCAUGCUCCUAAGCAUAGAAGGUGAAAGCAUUACCUCCAAUUUGUUCACUCUUUCCAACCUUCCGCGACUCCAGGAAAUGAGACUAAAGGGGGUGAUUGUGCCGCCAACACUGCCAGAGAGCAGUGGCUUCUAUCUCCCAAACUUGACAAAACUGUCUUUGGAGCAGACAAAGGUGACGAAAGAGUUCAUCAAUAAGCUAGGUAAACUUCCCUUUCUUGCCACUCUUGCCCUAAACCAUGACUCCUAUGAAGACAAAGAUCACCAUCUUGUAUUCACAAGUGGGUUCCAAAGUCUCAAGGAGUUGGUACUGGAUGUGGCGUUGAAGAAGAUCGAGAUAGGGGAGUCAGUGUUUCCUCAGCUUAUGGUUCUGGAGGUUUUCAGCUACUCAGAUGAUAUUUGUGCCGUCAUUCAUGGUAACAGAUAUAACAUUCGAAAGCUAAUCAAGGCAAAUGGUGUCCCUAUUGUGGUUGAUAUCCUAUCCUAG
rnacentral:rRNA from 1 species